rnacentral:rRNA from 1 species
CCGGCGACGGGUGAGUAACGCGUAUGCAACUUACCUAUCAGGAGGGGAUAACCCGGCGAAAGUCGGACUAAUACCGCAUGAAGCAGGGGCCCCGCAUGGGGAUAUUUGCUAAAGAUUCAUCGCUGAUAGAUAGGCAUGCGUUCCAUUAGGCAGUUGGCGGGGUAACGGCCCACCAAGCCGACGAUGGAUAGGGGUUCUGAGAGGAAGGUCCCCCACAUUGGUACUGAGACACGGACCAA